GAGUUUGAUCCUGGCUCAGGAUGAACGCUGGCGGCGUGCUUAACACAUGCAAGUCGAACGAACCUUCGGGUUAGUGGCGGACGGGUGAGUAACGCGUGAGAAUCUGCCCUCAGGAGGGGGACAACAGUUGGAAACGACUGCUAAUACCCCAUAUGCCGAGAGGUGAAACGAAUUUCGCCUGGGGAUGAGCUCGCGUCUGAUUAGCUUGUUGGUGGGGUAAUGGCUUACCAAGGCUUCGAUCAGUAGCUGGUCUGAGAGGACGAUCAGCCACACUGGGACUGAGACACGGCCCAGACCCCUACGGGAGGCAGCAGUGGGGAAUUUUCCGCAAUGGGCGCAAGCCUGACGGAGCAACGCCGCGUGAGGGAUGGAGGCCUUUGGGCUGUAAACCUCUUUUCUCAAGGAAGAAGAUCUGACGGUACUUGAGGAAUAAGCCACGGCUAAUUCCGUGCCAGCAGCCGCGGUAAUACGGGAGUGGCAAGCGUUAUCCGGAAUUAUUGGGCGUAAAGCGUCCGCAGGCGGCCG
rnacentral:rRNA from 1 species